GACGAACGCUGGCGGCGUGCCUAAUACAUGCAAGUCGAGCGAAUGGAUGGGAGCUUGCUCCCUGAAGUUAGCGGCGGACGGGUGAGUAACACGUGGGCAACCUGCCUAUAAGACUGGGAUAACUUCGGGAAACCGGAGCUAAUACCAGAUAAUUCAUAUCUACUCAUGUAGGUGUGCUGAAAGACGGUUUACGCUGUCACUUAUAGAUGGGCCCGCGGCGCAUUAGCUAGUUGGUGAGGUAACGGCUCACCAAGGCGACGAUGCGUAGCCGACCUGAGAGGGUGAUCGGCCACACUGGGACUGAGACACGGCCCAGACUCCUACGGGAGGCAGCAGUAGGGAAUCUUCCGCAAUGGACGAAAGUCUGACGGAGCAACGCCGCGUGAGUGAUGAAGGUUUUCGGAUCGUAAAACUCUGUUGUUAGGGAAGAACAAGUACUAGAGUAACUGCUAGUACCUUGACGGUACCUAACCAGAAAGCCACGGCUAACUACGUGCCAGCCGCCGCGGUAA
rnacentral:rRNA from 1 species